CGUAGGGACCAAGCGUUGUUCGGAGUUUACUGGGCGUAAAGGGCGCGUAGGCGGCAAAUUAAGUCAUCUGUGAAAUCUCCGAGCUUAACUCGGAACGGUCAGGUGAUACUGAUCUGCUAGAGUGCGGAAGGGGCAAUCGGAAUUCUUGGUGUAGCGGUGAAAUGCGUAGAUAUCAAGAGGAACACCUGAGGUGAAGACGGGUUGCUGGGCCGACACUGACGCUGACAGCGCGAAAGCCAGGGGAGCAAACGGGAUUAGAUACCCCGGUAGUCCUGGCCUUAAACGAUGAAUACUUGGUGUCUGGAGUCUCUAUAGCUCCGGGUGCCGUCGCUAACGUUUUUAGUAUUCCGCCUGGGGAGUACGCACGCAAGUGUG
rnacentral:rRNA from 1 species